rnacentral:rRNA from 1 species
AAGUGAGAAUGCCGGUGUGAGUAGCGAAAGACGGGUGAGAAUCCCGUCCACCGAUUGACUAAGGUUUCCAGAGGAAGGCUCGUCCGCUCUGGGUUAGUCGGGUCCUAAGCUGAGGCCGACAGGCGUAGGCGAUGGAUAACAGGUUGAUAUUCCUGUACCACCUAUAAUCGUUUUAAUCGAUGGGGGGACGCAGUAGGAUAGGCGAAGCGUGCGAUUGGAUUGCACGUCUAAGCAGUAAGGCUGAGUAUUAGGCAAAUCCGGUACUCGUUAAGGCUGAGCUGUGAUGGGGAGAAGACAUUGUGUCUUCGAGUCGUUGAUUUCACACUGCCGAGAAAAGCCUCUAGAUAGAAAAUAGGUGCCCGUACCGCAAACCGACACAGGUAGUCAAGAUGAGAAUUCUAAGGUGAGCGAGCGAACUCUCGUUAAGGAACUCGGCAAAAUGACCCCGUAACUUCGGGAGAAGGGGUGCUCUUUAGGGUUAACGCCCAGAAGAGCCGCAGUGAAUAGGCCCAAGCGACUGUUUAUCAAAAACACAGGUCUCUGCUAAACCGUAAGGUGAUGUAUAGGGGCUGACGCCUGCCCGGUGCUGGAAGGUUAAGAGGAGUGGUUAGCUUCUGCGAAGCUACGAAUCGAAGCCCCAGUAAACGGCGGCCGUAACUAUAACGGUCCUAAGGUAGCGAAAUUCCUUGUCGGGUAAGUUCCGACCCGCACGAAAGGCGUAACGAUUUGGGCACUGUCUCAACGAGAGACUCGGUGAAAUCAUAGUACCUGUGAAGAUGCAGGUUACCCGCGACAGGACGGAAAGACCCCGUGGAGCUUUACUGUAGCCUGAUAUUGAAAUUCGGCACAGCUUGUACAGGAUAGGUAGGAGCCUUUGAAACGUGAGCGCUAGCUUACGUGGAGGCGCUGGUGGGAUACUACCCUAGCUGUGUUGGCUUUCUAACCCGCACCACUUAUCGUGGUGGGAGACAGUGUCAGGCGGGCAGUUUGACUGGGGCGGUCGCCUCCUAAAAGGUAACGGAGGCGCUCAAAGGUUCCCUCAGAAUGGUUGGAAAUCAUUCAUAGAGUGUAAAGGCAUAAGGGAGCUUGACUGCGAGACCUACAAGUCGAGCAGGGUCGAAAGACGGACUUAGUGAUCCGGUGGUUCCGCAUGGAAGGGCCAUCGCUCAACGGAUAAAAGCUACCCCGGGGAUAACAGGCUUAUCUCCCCCAAGAGUUCACAUCGACGGGGAGGUUUGGCACCUCGAUGUCGGCUCAUCGCAUCCUGGGGCUGUAGUCGGUCCCAAGGGUUGGGCUGUUCGCCCAUUAAAGCGGUACGCGAGCUGGGUUCAGAACGUCGUGAGACAGUUCGGUCCCUAUCCGUCGUGGGCGUAGGAAAUUUGAGAGGAGCUGUCCUUAGUACGAGAGGACCGGGAUGGACAUACCUCUGGUGUACCAGUUGUCGUGCCAACGGCAUAGCUGGGUAGCUAUGUGUGGACGGGAUAAGUGCUGAAAGCAUCUAAGCAUGAAGCCCCCCUCAAGAUGAGAUUUCCCAACUUCGGUUAUAAGAUCCCUCAAAGAUGAUGAGGUUAAUAGGUUCGAGGUGGAAGCAUGGUGACAUGUGGAGCUGACGAAUACUAAUCGAUCGAAGACUUAAUCAA